rnacentral:rRNA from 1 species
CCCUUAGAUGUUCUGGGCUGCACGCGCGCUACACUGGUGCACUCAACAAGUUUACAACCUUGAUCGAUAGGUCUGGGUAAUCUUUUGAAUAUGCACCGUGCUAGGGAUAGAUUAUUGCAAUUAUUAAUCUUCAACGAGGAAUGCCUAGUAAGCGCAAGUCAUCAGCUUGCGUUGAUUACGUCCCUGCCCUUUGUACACACCGCCCGUCGCUCCUACCGAUUGAAUGGUCCGGUGAAGCGUUCGGACCGUGGCCUUUGGACGGUUCGCCGUCUGUUGGCUGCGGGAAGUUCGUUAAACCUUAUCAUUUAGAGGAAGGAGAAGUCGUAACA